CCCCCGAAAUUGGGAUUGACUAAGCCAUGCGAGUCAUUGUAGUAAUACAAGGCAGACGGCUCAGUAACGCGUAGUCCACUUAACCUAUGGACGGGAAUAACCUCGGGAAACUGAGUAUAAUGCCCGAUAGAACAUUAUACCUGGAAUGGUUUACGUUCCAAAUGAUUUAUCGCCGUAGGAUGGGACUGCGGCCUAUCAGUUUGUUGGUGAGGUAAUGGCCCACCAAGACUAUUACAGGUACGGGCUCUGAGAGGAGUAGCCCGGAGAUGGGUACUGAGACACGGACCCAGGCCCUAUGGGGCGCAGCAGGCGAGAAAACUUUGCAAUGUGCGAAAGCACGACAAGGUUAAUCCGAGUGGUUUCUGCUAAAGGAACCUUUUGUCGGUCCUAGAAACACCGAUGAAUAAGGGGUGGGCAAGUUCUGGUGUCAGCCGCCGCGGUAAAACCAGCACCUCAAGUGGUCAGGAUGAUUAUUGGGCCUAAAGCAUCCGUAGCCUGCUUUGUUAGUUUUCGGUUAAAUCUGUACGCUCAACGUACAGGCUGCCGGGAAUACUGCAAAGCUAGGGAGUGGGAGAGGUAGACGGUACUCGGUAGGAAGGGGUAAAAUCCUUUGAUCUAUUGAUGACCACCUGUGGCGAAGGCGGUCUACCAGAACACGUCCGACGGUGAGGGAUGAAAGCUGGGGGAGCAAACCGGAUUAAAUACCCGGGUAGUCCCAGCUGUAAACUAUGCAAACUCAUUGAUGCAUUGGCUUGUGGCCCAAUGCAGUGCUGCAAGGAAGCCGUUAAAUUUGCCGCCUGGGAAGUACGUACGCAAGUAUGAAACUCAAAGGAAUUGACGGAA
rnacentral:rRNA from 1 species